rnacentral:rRNA from 1 species
UGCAAGUCGAACGAGAUUAAGGAGCUUGCUCUUUAUGAAAGUGGCGCACGGGUGCGUAACGCGUAUGCAACCUACCUUAAUCAGGGGGAUAGCCCGAAGAAAUUCGGAUUAAGACCGCAUAAAAACACAGGAUAGCAUUAUCCAAUGUUCAAAUAUUUAUAGGAUUAAGAUGGGCAUGCGUGUCAUUAGCUAGUUGGCGGGGUAACGGCCCACCAAGGCG